rnacentral:rRNA from 1 species
UAGGGAAUCUUCCACAAUGGACGCAAGUCUGAUGGAGCAACGGCCGCGUGAGUGAAGAAGGUUUUCGGACCGUAAAGCUCUGUUGUUGGUGAAGAAGGAUAGAGGUAGUAACUGGCCUUUAUUUGACGGUAAUCAACCAGAAAGUCACGGCUAACUACGUGCCAGCAGCCGCGGUAAUCGUAGGUGGCAAGCGUUGUCCGGAUUUAUUGGGCGUAAAGCGAGCGCAGGCGGAAGAAUAAGUCUGAUGUGAAAGCCCUCGGCUUAACCGAGGAAUUGCAUCGGAAACUGUUUUCUUGAGUGCAGAAGAGGAGAGUAGAACUCCAUGUGUAGCGGUGGAAUGCGUAGAUAUACGGAAGAAUACCAGUGGCGAAGGCGGCUCUCUGGUCUGCAACUGACGCUGAGGCUCGAAAGCAUGGGUAGCGAACAGGAUUAGAUACCCUGGUAGUCCAUGCCGUAAACGAUGAGUGCUAAGUGUUGGGAGGCUUCCGCCUCUCAGUGCUGCAGCUAACGCAUUAAGCACUCCGCCUGGGGGAGUACGACCGCAAGGUUGAAAC